UCAUUUGCAAAUGUCGUCCUACACUCGU
rnacentral:sRNA from 1 species